ACUAUGUGAGAUAAGUCUCAUAGUCAAAAGGGAAACAGCCCAGACCCACAGCUAAGGUCCCAAAACAGAUUUAAGUGGAAAAGGAUGUGGGAUUGCCCAGACAACCAGGAUGUUGGCUUAGAAGCAGCCACACAUUAAAAGAGUGCGUAAUAGCUCACUGGUCGAGUGAUCCUGCGCCGAAAAUUCAACGGGGCUAAAAUUUGUACCGAAGCUUGGGCUUGAUACUUUGUAUCAGGGGUAGGGGAGCGUCAUGUAUGAGGAGAAGUCAUAGCGGAAGCGGUGGUGGAUUGUACAUGAGAGAGAAUGCCGGAAUGAGUAGCGAGAAUUAUGUGAGAAUCAUAAUGGCCGAAAAUCUAAGGUUUCCUGAGGAAGGUUCGUCCGCUCAGGGUAAGCCGGGAGCUAAGGUGAGGCGGAAACGCGUAGCCGAUGCACAUACGGUAGAGAUUCCGUAGCCUCCGAAAAGUAAAGCACAGGGACGCUUCAGAAGUGUUACGCCGGGCGAUGGUUGCCCCGGUUGUAAAGGACACAAUUGAGUGGAAGGUAACAUGGAUGGAGACAAGAAAAGCUGUGUGUAUCUGGAAGGAGCCCGUACCGCAAACCGACACAGGUAGAUAGGAAGAAGAUUCUAAGGCCAGCGGGAGAAGGGUUGUUAAGGAACUCGGCAAGUUGACCCCGUAACUUCGGGAGAAGGGGUGCUUACGAAGGUAAGCCGCAGAGAAUAGGCCCAAGCGACUGUUUAGCAAAAACACAGCUCUAUGCUAAAUCGAAAGAUGACGUAUAUGGGGUGACACCUGCCCGGUGCUGGAAGGUUAAGAGGAGAUGUGAGAGCAUUGAAUUGAAGCCCCAGUAAACGGCGGCCGUAACUAUAACGGUCCUAAGGUAGCGAAAUUCCUUGUCAGGUAAGUUCUGACCCGCACGAAUGGUGUAACGAUUUGGGCACUGUCUCAACAACCCACCCGGCGAAAUUGUAGUACCGGUGAAGAUGCCGGUUACCCGCGACUAGACGGAAAGACCCCAUGGAGCUUCACUGCAGCUUAAUAUUGGAUUUCGGUAUUUCAUGUACAGGAUAGGUGGGAGACUGGGAAAUACAGGCGUCAGCUUGUAUGGAGUCACUGUUGGGAUACCACUCUUGAGGUGCUGAAAUUCUAACCUGCGUCUUUGAAUCAAGACGGGGGACAUUGUUAGGUGGGCAGUUUGACUGGGGCGGUCGCCUCCAAAAGAGUAACGGAGGCGCUCAAAGGUUCGCUCAGCAUGGACGGAAACCAUGCCAAAGAGUGCAAACGCAAAAGCGAGCCUAACUGCGAGACUGACGGGUCGAGCAGUAACGAAAGUUGGAGUUAGUGAUCCGGCGGUAUGUGAGUGGAAAUG
rnacentral:rRNA from 1 species